GAAAGAUGCUAAACUGUUUUUGCGAUGUGUUCCUAAUAUGCACAAUAAAUAUAUUGGGAACAUUUUGCAUGCAUAGUUUUGUAUCAAUAUA
ensembl:miRNA MIR450A1 microRNA 450a-1